GAUGAACGCUGGCGGCGUGCCUAAUACAUGCAAGUCGAGCGAACGGACGAGAAGCUUGCUUCUCUGAUGUUAGCGGCGGACGGGUGAGUAACACGUGGAUAACCUACCUAUAAGACUGGGAUAACUUCGGGAAACCGGAGCUAAUACCGGAUAAUAUUUUGAACCGCAUGGUUCAAAAGUGAAAGACGGUCUUGCUGUCACUUAUAGAUGGAUCCGCGCUGCAUUAGCUAGUUGGUAAGGUAACGGCUUACCAAGGCAACGAUGCAUAGCCGACCUGAGAGGGUGAUCGGCCACACUGGAACGGAGACCCGGUCCAGACUCCUACGGGAGGCAGCAGUAGGGAAUCUUCCGCAAUGGGCGAAAGCCUGACGGAGCAACGCCGCGUGAGUGAUGAAGGUCUUCGGAUCGUAAAACUCUGUUAUUAGGGAAGAACAUAUGUGUAAGUAACUGUGCACAUCUUGACGGUACCUAAUCAGAAAGCCACGGCUAACUACGUG
rnacentral:rRNA from 1 species